rnacentral:rRNA from 1 species
UUGAACAGGUGCUGCAUGGCUGUCGUCAGCUCGUGUCGUGAGAUGUUCGGUUAAGUCCGCUAACGAGCGCAACCCUCGCUGUGUGUUACAAGUGUCACACGGGAACUGCCGGUCAUAAACCGGAGGAAGGUGGGGAUGACGUCAAGGUCAGCAUGGCCUUUAUAUCCUGGGCUACACACACGCUACAAUGGGAAGGGACAAUAGGUUGCGAAGCCGCGAGGCGGAGCCAAUCCAGCAAAACUUCCCUCAGUUCAGAUUGCAGGCUGCAACUCGCCUGCAUGAAGUUGGAGUUGCUAGUAAACGCAGGUCAGCCAUACUGCGUUGAAUACGUUCCCGGGCCUU